CAGAUAGCUCAGUCGGUAGAGCAGGGGACUGAAAAUCC
rnacentral:tRNA from 14 species